AGCGCAGGCGGUGCGGCAAGUCUAAUGUGAAAGCCCGGGGCUCAACCCCGGUACUGCAUUGGAAACUGUCGUACUAGAGUGUCGGAGGGGUAAGCGGAAUUCCUAGUGUAGCGGUGAAAUGCGUAGAUAUUAGGAGGAACACCAGUGGCGAAGGCGGCUUACUGGACGAUAACUGACGCUGAGGCUCGAAAGCGUGGGGAGCAAACA
rnacentral:rRNA from 1 species